GAAUAACUAGAGGAACCGGGAACCCGAAGCCCCGGAAGAAGGGGCGGAAGAAUUCUGUGAAGACUGAGGAUCGACGAAAAAGAGCAGAGCGACUAUCUAAUGUCGGGAUCUGUGUAGCGUAAGUGAUGUCGAUGUCGCCACCUACAUCUUGAAUAGAGACAAGAGACAACGACAACCAGAACUAUGGCGAUGCACUGAGAAGAAUUAUAUCAAAAUUAUUACGAUUUUUAAGACAAGUACUAAUAUAAAUACUACGAAAAUAUUGAUUUGUAUACAUAAUCCGUAAAAAUGUAGUAAAUUUGGCUAUAAUGUUUAUGCAACAUU
ensembl:ncRNA lncRNA:CR45369 long non-coding RNA:CR45369